UACAGAGGGGGCAAGCGUUAUUCGGAAUUAUUGGGCGUAAAGGGCGCGUAGGCGGUGUUUUAAGUGAGAUGUGUAAUCCCCGAGCUUAACUUGGGAACUGCAUCUCAGACUGGGACGCUAGAGUGCUGGAGAGGGUGGUAGAAUUCCACGUGUAGCAGUAAAAUGCAUAAAGAUGUGGAAGAAUACCAAUAACGAAGGCGACCACCUGGACAGUAACUGACGCUGAGGCGCGAAAGUAUGGAUAGCAAACAGG
rnacentral:rRNA from 1 species